rnacentral:rRNA from 1 species
GACGAACGCUGGCGGCGUGCUUAACACAUGCAAGUCGAGCGGAAAGGCCCUGCUUGCAGGGUACUCGAGUGGCGAACGGGUGAGUAACACGUGGGUGAUCUGCCCUGCACUUCGGGAUAAGCUUGGGAAACUGGGUCUAAUACCGGAUAGGAACCAUCUUUAGUGUGGUGGUUGGAAAGUUUUUUCGGUGUAGGAUGAGCUCGCGGCCUAUCAGCUUGUUGGUGGGGUAAUGGCCUACCAAGGCGGCGACGGGUAGCCGGCCUGAGAGGGUGUACGGCCACAUUGGGACUGAGAUACGGCCCAGACUCCUACGGGAGGCAGCAGUGGGGAAGAUUGCACAAUGGGCGCAAGCCUGAUGCAGCGACGCCGCGUGGGGGAUGAAGGCCUUCGGGUUGUAAACUCCUUUCGCUAGGGACGAAGCUUUUUGUGACGGUACCUAGAUAAGAAGCACCGGCUAACUACGUG